UACAGAGGUCCCAAGCGUUUGUUCGGAUUCAUUGGGCGUAAAGGGUGCGUAGGCGGCGCGGUAAGUCGGGUGUGAAAUCUCGGGGCUUAACUCCGAAACUGCAUUCGAUACUGCCGUGCUUGAGGACUGGAGAGGAGACUGGAAUUUACGGUGUAGCGGUGAAAUGCGUAGAUAUCGUAAGGAAGACCAGUGGCGAAGGCGGGUCUCUGGACAGUUCCUGACGCUGAGGCACGAAGGCCAGGGGAGCAAACGGG
rnacentral:rRNA from 1 species